UCGAACCCUUCUCUGCCAAAACCCUCCGCGACCUAAACUCCUCAUCAACCAAAACCAUCCAUGAAAAUGUACCCACCUCCUCCAAACCACGAAAAACAUCUUACGCCAAAACUCUCAUCCGCGUCGCCCGCAUCUAGCCUCCUCUGCGUCGCCCGCACCUAGCCUCCUCCGCCACUCAUCUGAGUUGCCUGCGACUAGCUUACUCAGCCACUCCUCCGCAUCGUCCGUGACCUCGCCUCCUCUGCCACUCCUCCAUGUCGCCCGCGAUCUAGCUUCCUCCGCCACUCCUCCGCCCACUCAUCAUCAUCAUCCGGUUCUUCAAUUGUUAGUGGAUCUCAAAUAUAUGGUAAGAUUUAAGAUCCGCGUCUUUGGAGAUUCCAUGGGUUGCAAGUUAGGUACCAAAAUAUCUCUUUUGGUGGAAGGUGUUGUCGAGAUAGGUACGGUGGAAUUAGUCGAUCUUCAACUGUCUUCUUACCUUGUAGAAACUGCAUUCGUUGGAAAACCAUACUUUCAGAAUGGUGUACCUUCGCUUGUUGCCUUGCCUUCUAAGUGUACAAAUACUCAUUGCAUUGAAAAGUUUGUAAAGGAUGAUGGAUCUUUUAUAUAACUUGUGUUGGUUGGAAACUCUUCCUAUAUUAUUUACUUACAAUUUCAUUGUACGUAUCCUGAUGAAUUCUCAGUUGAUUCAAUUUUAGAUUGGAUGACAACCAAUAUUCUUGGUCUACCUCGCAUUCUUUAUUAUUCAAAGGAGACUCUGGUAAUACAUGUGCUCUGGGUAAUUUAAAUAGCAUGGUAAAUGUUUUUUGUGAGGUCUUGGUUUAAGUUUAUUAGGUGAACUUUAGCAUCGAUGUAGUUGCCACAUGCUAUUACUAACUAGGCUAGGCUUGUGGUCUAGCUGUGGGCAUGGGUCUCAAGUUUUUGAGAGCUAUAUACAUUAAUUGUUUAUCCUAGGUGUUUAUGCAAACUCUUUAGCUGUUUUUACUGUCAUAUGGGGUGGUGUUAUAUAACUUAUUUUUUAAACUUUUGUUCUUGACAAUAUAAUGUGGUGCUCUCUGUUACCUAUCAUUUUCAGGCCAAGUUCAUUGCAACAAGUGGUCGCUAUAAAAUACUGGCUGCAAACUAAUAGAAUUGUGAGGACAACUACUUAAAAUGUUAUGUCUAAUAUAUUUUUAAUGUUUCUUUAAACCCUUAGACAAGCUAAUGGGUUGAUUUAUGUUUCGGAAAAAUAAAGUAUUAGGGUAGUGAACUAAUGAUGUAUAUUCUAUUAAUAGUGGGCAUUUUCUCUAAUGGUUGCAAAUUAAAGAAUUCUGAUUACUCCCUGCUCCUAAACUUUCAUCUUCCCUCCUUAUUAGUUUUGGAAUACCAGCAAAAAUGGGUGCCUCCUCCACCUCCCUCUUCUCUUCUUUUCUUCUUCUGAUUCUUCCACUCUUUUUAUCCCUCUCUCAUCCUAUCUUCGUGUCUUCCGCCUUUCCCAUCUGCUUCUACUGCUAUAAUCAUUGCCUCAUUCAGAGAGAGGGGUUGGUUAUGGAUUCUCACUUUAUUGGCUCAAUCAGAUAUUCAGGAAACUGAUCCAUAGUUCAACAAUCAUAAUACGAGCCUAAACAGUCCUAAAUAUUAAACUGUGACAGUCUCCUACAAAUUAGUAAAUGCUAUCUGGGAUGGUGAACCACCAGGUAAAAAUCAUUCAGAACAAAAAGCUGUUAAACUUUAUAGUAAUUUUUUGUUCUAUUACUGAGGCACUAAUAAAUAAUCGUUCUUUUGUUUCUAAUCAAAUGUUAGUUGAUGCCCCAACAUCUUCCGGAGGGUGAUCCUUCAAAGAAAAUAAUUGUUCGAAUAACUGGAGAUAAAAGACAAAUUGAAUCUGCUAAAGAUAUGAUCAAGGACGUAAUGAAUCAGGUAGUAGGUAGAUGAUAUGGAGAUGCUUGGAGUAUGCUGCUGGUCGGUCCCCUUUCCCACGUCAUAUCCGAGGACCUUUAUCGGUUUUGUUUCUCUUUUCCUACAUUUUGUAUUGGUUGGAUUUGGAGUUGUGAGAACGAAUUGUGUUUUUGAUAUGUGUAUUGUGGACUUGUAUCUGUGAUGUGUUUCAUGGACUUUUGUAUUUGUGGGUUUCCUCUUCGCC